rnacentral:rRNA from 1 species
UACGUAGGGGCCGAGCGUUGUCCGGAUUCAUUGGGCGUAAAGAGCUCGUAGGCGGUUCAGUAAGUCGGGUGUGAAAUCUCCGGGCUCAACCCGGAGGGGCCACCCGAUACUGCUGUGACUUGAGUCCAGUAGGGGAGCAGGGAAUUCCUGGUGUAGCGGUGAAAUGCGCAGAUAUCAGGAGGAACACCGGUGGCGAAGGCGCUGCUCUGGGCUGGUACUGACGCUGAGGAGCGAAAGCGUGGGUA